UCCCUGGUGGUCCAGUGGUUAGGACUCAGUGUUUUCACUGCUGUGGGCCCAGUUCAAUCCCUGGUUAGGGAA
rnacentral:tRNA from 1 species